rnacentral:rRNA from 1 species
UGCAAGUCGAACGGAGCACCCUUGAUUGAGGUUUCGGCCAAAUGAUAGGGAUGCUUAGUGGCGGACUGGUGAGUAACGCGUGAGGAACCUGCCUCUCAGAGGGGGACAACAGUUGGAAACGACUGCUAAUACCGCAUGACACAUCGGAAGGGCAUCCUUCUGAUGUCAAAGAUUUUAUCGCUGAGAGAUGGCCUCGCGUCUGAUUAGCUGGUUGGUGAGGUAAUGGCCCACCAAGGCGACGAUCAGUAGCCGGACUGAGAGGUUGACCGGCCACAUUGGGACUGAGAUACGGCCCAGACUCCUACGGGAGGCAGCAGUGGGGAAUAUUGGGCAAUGGACGCAAGUCUGACCCAGCAACGCCGCGUGAAGGAAGAAGGCUUUCGGGUUGUAAACUUCUUUUGUCAGGGAAGAGCAGAAGACGGUACCUGACGAAUAAGCCACGGCUAACUACGUGCCAGCAGCCGCGGUAAUACGUAGGUGGCAAGCGUUGUCCGGAUUUACUGGGUGUAAAGGGCGUGCAGCCGGGCCGGCAAGUCAGAUGUGAAAUCCACGAGCUUAACUCGUGAACUGCAUUUGAAACUGUUGGUCUUGAGUAUCGGAGAGGUAAUCGGAAUUCCUUGUGUAGCGGUGAAAUGCGUAGAUAUAAGGAAGAACACCAGUGGCGAAGGCGGAUUACUGGACGACA